GAUGAACGCUGGCGGCGUGCCUAAUACAUGCAAGUCGAGCGAACAGAUAAGGAGCUUGCUCCUUUGACGUUAGCGGCGGACGGGUGAGUAACACGUGGGUAACCUACCUAUAAGACUGGAAUAACUCCGGGAAACCGGGGCUAAUGCCGGAUAACAUUUAGAACCGCAUGGUUCUAAAGUGAAAGAUGGUUUUGCUAUCACUUAUAGAUGGACCCGCGCCGUAUUAGCUAGUUGGUAAGGUAACGGCUUACCAAGGCAACGAUACGUAGCCGACCUGAGAGGGUGAUCGGCCACACUGGAACUUAGACACGGACCAGACUCCUACGGGAGGCAGCAGUAGGGAAUCUUCCGCAAUGGGCGAAAGCCUGACGGAGCAACGCCGCGUGAGUGAUGAAGGUCUUCGGAUCGUAAAACUCUGUUAUUAGGGAAGAACAAAUGUGUAAGUAACUGUGCACGUCUUGACGGUACCUAAUCAGAAAGCCACGGCUAACUACGUG
rnacentral:rRNA from 1 species